rnacentral:rRNA from 1 species
UACGUAGGGGGCAAGCGUUGUCCGGAUUUAUUGGGCGUAAAGAGCGUGUAGGCGGCCAGGUAGGUCCGUUGUGAAAACUAGAGGCUUAACCUCUAGACGUCGAUGGAAACCAUCUGGCUAGAGUCCGGAAGAGGAGAGUGGAAUUCCUGGUGUAGCGGUGAAAUGCGCAGAUAUCAGGAAGAACACCCGUGGCGAAGGCGGCUCUCUGGGAACGGUACUGACGCUGAGACGCGAAAGCGUGGGGAGCGAACAGG